CUCUUUUGAAGCUCGUUUUUUAUGUCAGAUACACCUGGGCAGUGGGAAGGGACAAUUUUACCACAGUUCUGAGGAAUCAGAGCCAAGCUGUGGGGAAGAAAGGAAAGAGUGAGCUCCCUUCUGUACCUGGCAGGAGAGAGGGCUGAGACCUGACCCCUGCCUCAGCCAUCUGUGACUGGGCUACUGUCCUCUGGGGCUGAUCUCAUCAAAGGGAGCUGCUCUUCAUGGCAUUCUAAUAUAAAGCCUAUCAUGGUGCUACCAAGCCAUGAAAAUCCAUUUGCAGCACUUCCAUUUUUUACAAGGCUAUCUUAUGAGGUGCAAUACAGAAGGAAAACCUGAAGGUUGCUUUACUGCUCAGUACUCAGGUGAAAUCUGAGACCAACCAAGAGGUAAAGCUACACAAUACAAGAAAAAGAAGAGCUAGAACUGGGAUUUUAAGCUUCUUAAACUAUUAUCUCCUAUUUCUG